CUUUCCCCCAAAUCUCCUAAAUAUAAUUCUCCCCCAAAUCUUUCAAAGGCCUUUCAUCUUCACCACAAAGAACCACCGUCUUCACUUGUAACCGUCUGCCACUGCGGGAAACGAACAGCCAUUGACGACUCUUCUUGAAUCUGGGCUUGUGUCGAACCAUCUUCAAUGAGCAUGUGUCAAAUUUGCGUGAAUCUGGUCUUGUUUAAAAUUCGUGCCUUUACCUGUGAUCGCCUACCCCUUUCAUCAUCAUCGCAACGAGCCUGCGUCGAAACUGUGGUUUGGAAGAAUUGGUCGAUUGGUGGCUAGGGUCGCUUUGAAGAGAGUUGAUGUUGAGCUUGUUGUUGUCAACGACCCAUUUAUCUCUGUGAUGUACAUGGUUUGUAAAUUUUAUUAUCUAAUUGCAUUCGUAGUAGAGUUGAGUUUUGGGGGGUUUUGAAUAUUAAACAAUGUAAAAUUAGGUUGAAUUAACUUCAGUAGAUGGUGGAUUUAUUAGUUGAUAGUUAUGUUGACUUUGAAUUUGACUUGGUUAUAAUUUAUGUGCAUACUUACAUGUUUGAGUGGACGCACCAUGAGCACAUGUGAAGGAUGAUAGAACCUUUCUUUUUGGUGAGAAAGCGGUGACUGUUUUCUCUUCCGGGUGCAACCUUAAAACAUCCACUUCAUGUUAUAGUAUGUUAUUAUA
rnacentral:lncRNA from 1 species